UACGAAGGUCCCGAGCGUUGUUCGGAAUCACUGGGCGUAAAGGGUGCGUAGGCGGCGUGGUAAGUCAGAUGUGAAAUCCCGGGGCUCAACCCCGGAACUGCAUCCGAUACUGCCAUGCUAGAGGAUUGGAGAGGUAGCUGGAAUUCACGGUGUAGCAGUGAAAUGCGUAGAUAUCGGGAGGAACACUGGUGGCGAAAGCGAGCUACUGGACAAUUACUGACGCUGAGGCUCGAAAGCUAGGGUAGCGAAAGGG
rnacentral:rRNA from 1 species